GACUCACUCGCAGGCGCCGGGCAACGGCGGUGCUUCCGGUGGCUGCCGUAAGUGUCCGCGCUCUGCGCAACUUACGACAACUCCCAGAAGUCCGCGCGCCUGUGGCCGUUGCUCUCUCAGGCGUCGUUAUUCCCGGCGGGAGCUUGCGGCCCCGCGGUGGCGAGACGAGCUUUUUCCUGUGAUCGCGACUAGCAUUGUGGCUUAGAAAGUUGCUUCUUGGUUCUGUUCCUUGGCGCGCCUGUCCCCUCCCCAUUGAACGGCCACGCUGGUUCUCAUCCAGCAACCGAAGCCGAGACUGUGGGAGGUGGCGCCCGGCAUCCAGGGCGGGACUAGCGCCUGAUGGUGCUCGGCUCUGUCAUGUCCUCGGGGGCCUUCCCGGCGCCUUGGCUUGUUGAGGAGAGACAAGACUGCGUUCUUGAGAACGGUCCAAGGCCGUUAACCCGGAGCCCGGGGGCAAGGGCGCCCGCCGCCAUCCGCGCCUGUGGCGGGGACUCGGAGACAGCCUGGGCACGGGGACGCGUCCUAGUGACAGAAACAAAGCCCCGGGUGUGCCCCGCGUGGAGCAUUCCGAGUGGAAGCUGUCAGCAUGCUAACUGGAGUGACGUCUGCCUGUGAUGUGUAGAACAGUCACAAGCACACUGGCACCAUGAGGAAGCCAGCCCAGGAGGUAAAGUCAGCAUGCUGAGAAUGGCAAAGCGGAAAGAUGGAAAGAACCAGUAUCUGUGAUGGAAUGAAUCCUCUUUGUGCCACUGAAUCUGCAUUUCCUAUGCCCACCUCAGGGACUUUACAUUAUGAGAUAAUAAAUGACCUUGUUUGUUUUUAUUAUAGAAGAUUUCAAACAUACAAGAGUAGAGAGAACAGUAUAAUGAAGCCCUCCUUGCAUCAGUCACCUUCACCUGGCUUUUUGGUCAGCAUUCUGCCUUUUAAUCCCUAUCUGCUCCCAGCCCCCACCACUGGAUUAUUUUGAAGCAAAUCCCAGACACAUAAAUUAUAAAUUUAUUUCAUCCAUAAAUAAAAAUGUAUCUCUGAAAGAUAAUGCUUUUUUCUAGAGUGGGCAAGUCCAAAAAAAGUGUUGUCUGGGGAUAGGGAAGAUUGACCAGAAAUUCCAAUGAAUGGGAAUUUGAGAAACUCUGGUUUCCUUUUGGGGUAAUGAAAAUGUUCUAAAAUUUAUUGUAGUGAUGGUUGUAAAACUGUGAGUAUAUUAAACCAUACAUAUUUUAA